CUUUCAGGCACUGCCAGCAGUGAUGAGCGGGGUGAGGGUGGCUGGCGCGGCCCAGUGCUAUUCUGCCACAGCCAACGGCUGCAUUUCCUGAGCAAACGCUAGAAGCAAGUACAGUCCUAGGUGCUGGGGAUACAGUGGGGCAGAAUGCAGAGGUCUUCAAUCUCCUGUGGCCUCCCUUCUAGCAGGGGACUUCCAAGAAACAAGCAACAAAAAAGGAUUAGUGCCCUUAUGAAAGAGGCUUCCCAUGGCUGUUGGCCCUUUUGCCCUUCUGCCUUCUGCCAAGUGAGGACAGUGUUCCUCCCCUCUGGAGGAUGCAGCUUUCAAGCCACCAUUGUGGAAACCAAAAUUGGACCCUCAUCAGACACAGAAUUUGCUGGAACCUUGAUCUUGGACUUCCCAGCCUUCAGAACUGAGAGAAGUAAAUUUUUAUUUUUUAUAAAUAAACCAGUCCCAGAUAUCUGUUAUAGCAGCGCAAAA
rnacentral:lncRNA from 1 species